GAUGAACGCUGGCGGCGUGCUUAACACAUGCAAGUCGAACGAAGCACUUUAUUUGAUUUCCUUCGGGACUGAUUAUUUUGUGACUGAGUGGCGGACGGGUGAGUAACGCGUGGGUAACCUGCCUUGUACAGGGGGAUAACAGUUGGAAACGGCUGCUAAUACCGCAUAAGCGCACAGCAUCGCAUGAUGCAGUGUGAAAAACUCCGGUGGUAUAAGAUGGACCCGCGUUGGAUUAGCUAGUUGGUGAGGUAACGGCCCACCAAGGCGACGAUCCAUAGCCGACCUGAGAGUGUGACCGGCCACAUUGGGACUGAUACACGGCCCAAACUCCUACGGGAGGCAGCAGUGGGGAAUAUUGCACAAUGGGCGAAAGCCUGAUGCAGCGACGCCGCGUGAGCGAAGAAGUAUUUCGGUAUGUAAAGCUCUAUCAGCAGGGAAGAUAAUGACGGUACCUGACGAAGAAGCACCGGCUAAAUACGUG
rnacentral:rRNA from 1 species